UGGGGGGGGGGGGGGGGGGUUUUUCUCCAGAGUCUCUCUUUUUGUUUGUGUGCACCGCAGCUUCCUUUAUUUAAAAAGACAUCUUUUGUUUGAGAUGAGCAAAUGUCAGUUGCUGAUACUUCAACUUCCAGCAUUUAACUUUUUUUUCUAUGGAACCCUAGAAGCUGUGGGGGACUGAGUCCUUUCUGACAGCGCCUUACUAAUGGCUGAGAAAAUGCAUUGUUAAUAGCUUGCUGUUGGUUGGGGAAAGCAUGCUGGGCAUUUACAGGUUUUCAGGCAGAGACUAACCCUAAACUAGUGUGCAAGUAACUUUGGAUUUAUUUCUCUGGUUUGGCUAGGAUCAAAAGGAGGUUAUACCAAAGUGGUUCUGAGCCAGUGAAAAACAAAUUCAAGCUGCUAACAACAUAAUGAAGAUGAUGGGCUUCGUUGGGAAGAAAAUCAUGUUUGAUUUACUGCCGGAGCUGUCGUGACUACCAUUUCUGAGCACCUGCUGUCACCAAGGAUAGCACUAGAGUAUCUUCUUUUUACCAUUGUCAAAGAACUUGCUACACUUUCCAUACACCUGGCAUCGCUGCAUGAGGCCAUCCUUGACCAGUAUGUGGAGCUGACAAGGUGCGGUAGGUGGCCACUAAAAUGGCUCCUCAGACCCCCGCCUGUUGUUCCCCACAGUCUGUAUGUUCCCUUUCCCCGGAAUGUGAGUUAGUAUUAUUGAUAGGAUGUCAGUUAUAAAAAUACUGGCUCUAAUCUUGGCCAUGUCCCAUU
rnacentral:lncRNA from 1 species